GAGUUUGAUCCUGGCUCAGGAUGAACGCUGGCGGCGUGCCUAAUACAUGCAAGUCGAACGCGCAGCGAAAGGUGCUUGCACCUUUCAAGCGAGUGGCGAACGGGUGAGUAACACGUGGAUAACCUGCCUCAAGGCUGGGGAUAACAUUUGGAAACAGAUGCUAAUACCGAAUAAAACUUAGUAUCGCAUGAUACAAAGUUAAAAGGCGCUACGGCGUCACCUAGAGAUGGAUCCGCGGUGCAUUAGUUAGUUGGKGGGGUAAAGGCUUACCAAGACGAUGAUGCAUAGCCGAGUUGAGAGACUGAUCGGCCACAUUGGGACUGAGACACGGCCCAAACUCCUACGGGAGGCUGCAGUAGGGAAUCUUCCACAAUGGGCGCAAGCCUGAUGGAGCAACGCCGCGUGUGUGAUGAAGGCUUUCGGGUCGUAAAGCACUGUUGUAUGGGAAGAAAUGCUAAAAUAGGGAAUGAUUUUAGUUUGACGGUACCAUACCAGAAAGGGACGGCUAAAUACGUGCCAGCAGCCGCGGUAAUACGUAUGUCCCGAGCGUUAUCCGGAUUUAUUGGGCGUAAAGCGAGCGCAGACGGUUGAUUAAGUCUGAUGUGAAAGCCCGGAGCUCAACUCCGGAAUGGCAUUGGAAACUGGUUAACUUGAGUGUUGUAGAGGUAAGUGGAACUCCAUGUGUAGCGGUGGAAUGCGUAGAUAUAUGGAAGAACACCAGUGGCGAAGGCGGCUUACUGGACAACAACUGACGUUGAGGCUCGAAAGUGUGGGUAGCAAACAGGAUUAGAUACCCUGGUAGUCCACACCGUAAACGAUGAAUACUAGGUGUUAGGAGGUUUCCGCCUCUUAGUGCCGAAGCUAACGCAUUAAGUAUUCCGCCUGGGGAGUACGACCGCAAGGUUGAAACUCAAAGGAAUUGACGGGGACCCGCACAAGCGGUGGAGCAUGUGGUUUAAUUCGAAGCAACGCGAAGAACCUUACCAGGUCUUGACAUCCUUUGAAGCUUUUAGAGAUAGAAGUGUUCUCUUCGGAGACAAAGUGACAGGUGGUGCAUGGUCGUCGUCAGCUCGUGUCGUGAGAUGUUGGGUUAAGUCCCGCAACGAGCGCAACCCUUAUUGUUAGUUGCCAGCAUUCAGUUGGGCACUCUAGCGAGACUGCCGGUGACAAACCGGAGGAAGGCGGGGACGACGUCAGAUCAUCAUGCCCCUUAUGACCUGGGCUACACACGUGCUACAAUGGCGUAUACAACGAGUUGCCAACCUGCGAAGGUGAGCUAAUCUCUUAAAGUACGUCUCAGUUCGGACUGCAGUCUGCAACUCGACUGCACGAAGUCGGAAUCGCUAGUAAUCGCGGAUCAGCACGCCGCGGUGAAUACGUUCCCGGGUCUUGUACACACCGCCCGUCACACCAUGGGAGUUUGUAAUGCCCAAAGCCGGUGGCCUAACCUUCGGGAGGGAGCCGUCUAAGGCAGGACAGAUGACUAGGGUGAAGUCGUAACAAGGUAACC
rnacentral:rRNA from 1 species